rnacentral:rRNA from 1 species
AGGAUAAACGCUGGCGGCGUGCCUUACGCAUGCAAGUCGAACGGGGGGCUUCGGCCCCCAGUGGCGGACGGGUGAGGAACACGUAAGUGACCUAACGCCGAGUGGGGGGUACCCGCCCGAAAGGGCGGCUAAGACCGCAUAGCCUCCCCGGGGGUGCUCGGGGAGGAAAGGCAGCGAUGUCGCUGGGUGAGGGGCGUGCGGCCGAUUAGCUAGCUGGUGGGGUAACGGCCUACCAGGGGCACGAUCGGGUAGCUGGG